CGCUAGCGACAGGCUUAACACAUGCAAGUCGAGGGGCAGCGGGGUGAGGAGCAAUCCUUGCCGCCGGCGACCGGCGCACGGGUGAGUAACGCGUAUGCGACCUGCCCGUUGCAGGGGGAUAAUCGGGAGAAAUCCCGUCUAAUACCGCGUAAUGCCGCGGGGCUGCAUGGCCCUGCGGCCAAAGGGAGCGAUUCCGGCAACGGAUGGGCAUGCGUGACAUUAGCUAGUUGGCGGGGCAACGGCCCACCAAGGCGACGAUGUCUAGGGGUUCUGAGAGGAAGGUCCCCCACACUGGUACUGAGACACGGACCAGACUCCUACGGGAGGCAGCAGUGAGGAAUAUUGGUCAAUGGGCGCGAGCCUGAACCAGCCAAGUCGCGUGAGGGAUGACGGCCCUACGGGUUGUAAACCUCUUUUGUCGGGGAGCAAAUUCCGCCACGUGUGGCGGAGUCGAGAGUACCCGAAGAAAAAGCAUCGGCUAACUCCGUGCCAGCAGCCGCGGUAAUACGGAGGAUGCGAGCGUUAUCCGGAUUUAUUGGGUUUAAAGGGUGCGUAGGCGGACUGUCAAGUCAGCGGUAAAAUACGGGGGCUCAACCUCCGCCCGCCGUUGAAACUGACGGUCUUGAGUGGGCGAGAAGUAUGCGGAAUGCGUGGUGUAGCGGUGAAAUGCAUAGAUAUCACGCAGAACUCCGAUUGCGAAGGCAGCAUACCGGCGCCCGACUGACGCUGAAGCACGAAAGCGUGGGUAUCGAACAGGAUUAGAUACCCUGGUAGUCCACGCAGUAAACGAUGAAUACUAGCUGUCCGGGGCGAAUGAGCCCUGGGUGGCACAGCGAAAGCGUUAAGUAUUCCACCUGGGGAGUACGCCGGCAACGGUGAAACUCAAAGGAAUUGACGGGGGCCCGCACAAGCGGAGGAACAUGUGGUUUAAUUCGAUGAUACGCGAGGAACCUUACCCGGGCUCAAACGACACAGGGACGUACCUGAAAGGGUUCGGCUCUACGGAGCCUGUGUCGAGGUGCUGCAUGGUUGUCGUCAGCUCGUGCCGUGAGGUGUCGGCUUAAGUGCCAUAACGAGCGCAACCCCCAUCGGCAGUUGCUAACAGGUCAGGCUGAGGACUCUGUCGAGACUGCCGGCGCAAGCUGCGAGGAAGGCGGGGAUGACGUCAAAUCAGCACGGCCCUUACGUCCGGGGCGACACACGUGUUACAAUGGCAGGUACAGCGGGAAGCCACCUGGCGACAGGGAGCGGAACCCGAAAGCCUGUCUCAGUUCGGAUUGGAGUCUGCAACCCGACUCCAUGAAGCUGGAUUCGCUAGUAAUCGCGCAUCAGCCACGGCGCGGUGAAUACGUUCCCGGGCCUUGUACACACCGCCCGUCAAGCCAUGGAAGCCGGGGGUGCCUGAAGUGCGCUGCCGCGAGGAGCGCCCUAGGGUAAAACCGGUGACUGGGGCUAAGUCGUAACAAGGUAGCCGU
rnacentral:rRNA from 1 species